rnacentral:misc_RNA from 1 species
CUCUGAACUUGUGCUGUGACUUUAAUCAUUAAGAUCAGCUUAUGCUGCAAGUAGCAGACAUUAUGCUUGUAACGAGUCGAAAAUUAAGAUUAAAAAAAGAAGUAUUUAUACAGAUAUCCAGGCACAAUCUAUUGGAAGAAAAACAAAACGAAAACUGAACGCCUGCAUUUGGUUUGCCAUGCAUAGUCCUUUACUCCAUGUAUGGAAGACAAUCAUAUCAUUUCCAGAUCUUGCAAAAUUCAUAUCAACCUCUCAAG